UACAGAGAGUGCGAACGUUGUUCGGAAUUACUGGGCUUAAAGCGCACGCAGGCGGUGCUGUAAGUGUCAGGUGAAAUCCCACGGCUCACCCGUGGAACUGCCUGGCAGACUGCGGUGCUAGAGUGUGGUAGGGGAGAGCGGAACUCCUGGUGGAGCGGUGAAAUGCGUAGAUAUCAGGAGGAACACCGGUGGCGAAGGCGGCUCUCUGGUCCACAACUGACGCUGAGGUGCGAAAGCUAGGGGAGCAAACGGG
rnacentral:rRNA from 1 species